rnacentral:rRNA from 1 species
GGUUAAAAAGCUCGUAGUUGGAUCUCGGCGAGCAGGGGGUGGUUCGCUCUUCAGCGCUCCUGCCCCGCUUUGCCCGUGUGAUUGGCGGAGGUUUCGGGGUGCUCUUCGUUGAGUGACUCGGAGCGCCGUCAGGUUUACUUUGAAAAAAUUAGAGUGCUCAAAGCAGGCUUUUCACGCUUGAAUAUUCGUGCAUGGAAUAAUGGAAUAGGAACUCGUUUCUAUUUUGUUGGUUUUCGGAAAUCGAGUUAAUGAUUAACAGGGACAAUUGGGGGCAUUAGUAUUCAGACGACAGAGGUGAAAUUCUUGGACCGUCUGAAGACUGACUACUGCGAAAGCAUUUGCCAAGAGUGUUUUCAUUAAUCAAGAACGAAAGUUAGAGGUUCGAAGGCGAUCAGAUACCGCCCUAGUUCUAACCAUAAACGAUGCCAGCUAGCGAUCUGCCGAGUUUUUUUUGUAGGCUCCGCAGGAAGCUUUCGGGAAACCAAAGCUUUCGGGUACCGGGGGAAGUAUGGUUGCAAAGCUGAAACUUAAAGGAAUUGACGGAAGGGCACCACCAGGAGUGGAGCCUGCGGCUUAAUUUGACUCAACACGGGAAAUCUCACCAGGCCCGGACACUGGA